AACAAAGCCAAAGGGUGUGGCUCCUCAUUGUACUGGUAAGGGGUAUUUUACAGUCUGGUCAGGAGCUCUGGAGAAGACCACCUGGAGGCUUCAACAUGGCUAAAGUUACUAGGAAGCCAGAGAAAGCUGGCGCAGUUAUGGAACAACCAACCCCAAGCACAAAACCACCCCAAGCACAAAAAGAAAGAAGAGGACGAGCCAGUGUCGACCCAGAUCCGUAGAUAGUGGCAAGGUGAAGAAGAUGCAGAGGGGAAUGAAAAGACUGCUUCAUACAAGUUCGAGAAAAAAAUCCUCUCGUUCUAGUACAACAAGUCCAAGAAAGGUGAAGAGAGUGAAAAAGGCCAAGAAAUUUCGGCCUUUAGCAAAGAGUGAAUAGUAGCCUAAGUCCAAGGCACUAAGGCCAGGGCUGGAAAGACCCUACAAUGGCAUAUCACCAUCCUACAAGAUAUGACACCAUCCUGGAACAGAGAUGGUAUUGAUUAAAAUGAAAUCAACAACUUU